CCUACGGGAGGCUGCAGUCGAGAAUCAUUCACAAUGGGGGAAACCCUGAUGGUGCGACGCCGCGUGGGGGAAUGAAGGUCUUCGGAUUGUAAACCCCUGUCAUGUGGGAGCAAAUUAAAAAGAUAGUACCACAAGAGGAAGAGACGGCUAACUCUGUGCCAGCAGCCGCGGUAAUACAGAGGUCUCAAGCGUUGUUCGGAAUCACUGGGCGUAAAGCGUGCGUAGGCUGUUUCGUAAGUCGUGUGUGAAAGGCGCGGGCUCAACCCGCGGACGGCACAUGAUACUGCGGGACUAGAGGAAUGGAGGGGGAACCGGAAUUCGCGGUGUAGGAGUGAAAUGCGUAGAUAUCGAGAGGAACACUCGUGGCGAAGGCGGGUUCCUGGACAUUAACUGACGCUGAGGCACGAAGGCCAGGGGAGCGAAAGGGAUUAGAUACCCUGGUAGUC
rnacentral:rRNA from 1 species